AACGCACGAGACCUGCGGACCUGCGGAGGGAUCAUUAAAAAUUGAAUUAUCCUGCUUCAACCAUAUUAUGGAUAAUAAAUCCAUAUUCACUUCGUGUGCAUCCAUCGAUCGUAUACUUUGACAGAUCGUUUCUUUUCUCGAUUUGAUUUCAGAAAGAUGUCGUCGGCCGGAGAUCGGAAAUCUCAGGGUCUGUCUGGUGGUCUGUCAAAAGUUUUUUCUCCCGAAUCCUUUCAAAUUUUG
rnacentral:misc_RNA from 1 species